UGUGUGAAUACAUUACGAACCCGCCAUGCGAUUCCCCUGAUUUGGGCGGCUGCGUAGCCAAAGGCCCAUCCAGGAUUUGGACAUGGAGAACCAGUAGCUCAGCCAUCAAUGUGUAAUCGCCGAACGGAAGAUAGAGUUCUGCCAAAAAUUCCAAUAUUGCCCCUUUGAAUUCGUGUGGCGUGCAGUCUCGUGUGAGAUGAAUAGUCAAUUAAACCGCCGCUCUCGCCCUACCACCCACGCCUGAACUGCGGCUAGAAACACCGUCUGAGAUGCAGUCGCCUAAUAGAAUAUUAGCAGUCAAUUUGAUGCAUCUUCUCUGCGCUUGGCAUUCACGAAGAGUCACUGCCCAAUUAGUUUCACGUACACAGAGAGUGUUUAUUUAAAUUAUGAUAAUCGCUGGCAAUCAUGAGGAUUCCUACUGUUGCCCUCACCCAGUCAUUUCUCAUAUGGUUUAUAAUGAGCAAAAACUGAGACUCUCAUCUCAACCCCUCCCUCAGAUCAGGCUCCAUUCGAGAUCCGAAAGAGGAAUGAUUGAAUGGCUGGCGGCACAGCGUCAUCGGUACUCUAAAAUUAUUUUAAAUACAACUCUCCAUUUAUCCUUGGCUUCGUAUGAAAUUCGUAUAUGCAUUUUCUCGCAGUCAACGAGUAAGGAAAAGCACUCAAGUACUAAAGCAUUAUUGUUAUGCUCCGAACUAUACAUGCAGGAGAAAAUGAUUGAUUGAAUUGUUACAGAGAAGGAAAUUCUGACUCUGUAAUCUUCACUGUUAUUAUUUCAGCGCAAUCAUAUUUCAUUGUAACGUGUCGUUUGAUUAUUUUUGCCCGAUAAAUUUUACAUAUAAUCUUCCUCUGUCAGUUUGUAUUAUUCCGCCUUUUGUUCUUCCAUUUCGGUUCUGGUA